rfam:Capsicum annuum cultivar Zunla-1 chromosome 7, whole genome shotgun sequence
GUCUGUUGAUGAGGUCAAUUCCUAAGCAUACCCUUGAAUCUUACCCAAGCUUGGUAAAGGUUCUCUCUAUCUUUUUACCUGAAACUCAGAAUCUCACUUCUCAAAUU